AGCCCCUGGCUAUGGACAAAGAGAGACCUGGUGGUGGUGGUGUUCUCGUACCAGUCAGGGGCAGAGCAGAUGGCAGACCUUGUUCAUCCUAGCCUGAUGCCUGGCUUGGUGGCCAAAGCUGUCUUAUGCCCGGGACUCAUAA